rnacentral:rRNA from 1 species
ACGGAAGGCAGCAGUGGGGAAUAUUGCACAAUGGGGGAAACCCUGAUGCAGCGACGCCGCGUGAGUGAAGAAGUAUUUCGGUAUGUAAAGCUCUAUCAGCAGGAAAGAAAAUGACGGUACCUGACUAAGAAGCCCCGGCUAACUACGUGCCAGCAGCCGCGGUAAUACGUAGGGGGCAAGCGUUAUCCGGAUUUACUGGGUGUAAAGGGAGCGUAGACGGCUUUGCAAGUCUGAAGUGAAAGCCCGGGGCUCAACCCCGGAACUGCUUCGGAAACUGUAGAGCUAGAGUGCAGGAGAGGUAAGUGGAAUUCCUAGUGUAGCGGUGAAAUGCGUAGAUAUUAGGAGGAACACCAGUGGCGAAGGCGGCUUACUGGACUGUAACUGACGUUGAGGCUCGAAGGCGUGGGGAGCAAACAGGAUUAGAUACCCUGGUA